rnacentral:rRNA from 1 species
UACCAGCACCCCGAGCGGUCGGGACGAUUAUUGGGCCUAAAGCAUCCGUAGCCGGUCAUGCAAGUCCUCCGUUAAAUCCACCUGCUUAACAGAUGGGCUGCGGAGGAUACUACAAGGCUAGGAGGCGGAAGAGGCAAGCGGUACUCAGUGGGUAGGGGUAAAAUCCUCUGAUCCAUUGAAGACCACCAGUGGCGAAGGCGGCUUGCCAAUACGCGCUCGACGGUGAGGGAUGAAAGCUGGGGGAGCAAACCGG